CCCUUAGAUAUUCUGGGCCGCACGCGCGCUACACUGAUGCAUUCAACGAGUUUCUUCCUGGUCCGAGAGGAAUGGGUAACCUUUUGAAAGUGCAUCGUGAUAGGGAUAGACUAUUGCAAUUAUUGGUCUUCAACGAGGAAUUCCUAGUAGACGUAGUUCAUCAGACUGCAUCGAUUACGUCCCUGCCCUUUGUACACACCGCCCGUCGCUCCUACCGAUUGAAUGCUCAGGUGAGCCAUUCGGACCUUCAUCAUGCCGGUUUCCGGUUUUGAUGAGGGAAAGUCUUGCGAACCUUAUCAUUUAGAGGAAGGAGAAGUCGUAACA
rnacentral:rRNA from 1 species